UGCAGUCGAGCGAACUGAUUAGAAGCUUGCUUCUAUGACGUUAGCGGCGGACGGGUGAGUAACACGUGGGCAACCUGCCUGUAAGACUGGGAUAACUUCGGGAAACCGAAGCUAAUACCGGAUAGGAUCUUCUCCUUCAUGGGAGAUGAUUGAAAGAUGGUUUCGGCUAUCACUUACAGAUGGGCCCGCGGUGCAUUAGCUAGUUGGUGAGGUAACGGCUCACCAAGGCAACGAUGCAUAGCCGACCUGAGAGGGUGAUCGGCCACACUGGGACUGAGACACGGCCCAGACUCCUACGGGAGGCAGCAGUAGGGAAUCUUCCGCAAUGGACGAAAGUCUGACGGAGCAACGCCGCGUGAGUGAUGAAGGCUUUCGGGUCGUAAAACUCUGUUGUUAGGGAAGAACAAGUACAAGAGUAACUGCUUGUACCUUGACGGUACCUAACCAGAAAGCCACGGCUAACUACGUGCCAGCAGCCGCGGUAAUACGUAGGUGGCAAGCGUUAUCCGGAAUUAUUGGGCGUAAAGCGCGCGCAGGCGGUUUCUUAAGUCUGAUGUGAAAGCCCACGGCUCAACCGUGGAGGGUCAUUGGAAACUGGGGAACUUGAGUGCAGAAGAGAAAAGCGGAAUUCCACGUGUAGCGGUGAAAUGCGUAGAGAUGUGGAGGAACACCAGUGGCGAAGGCGGCUUUUUGGUCUGUAACUGACGCUGAGGCGCGAAAG
rnacentral:rRNA from 2 species